CUCCCCGGAACUGUUUGGACCAGCGCACAGCUGUGCGUCAGCAUCACCCCUGGACGCGGCCCCCACGUGCGUUCCCAUGAGGCUGCAAGCGGGAACACCACUGAUGAUGCAAGCCCGGUGGGAACUUCUCUGCAGUGUCGUGGGUGCUCAGGGGGCCUGGGAACGUCAUGAAUGCGGAGUGGCCUAAUGUCAUUUGAUCUCAUCAUUAUGCCUUCCAACAACAAGCUGUCUCUACCCCUCUCCCAUUUGAUUCCUUCCCUUAGAGCAUUUCCUAAGAAUAUGGGUGGGAAUGAUGGGGAGGAGACCCUUCCUAUGUCCAUGCAGAAUCUACCUAAGUGGAUAAAUGAGUACCAUGCAAAAGUGCCUGGAUUAUGGUGAAUGUUUCCCUAGCCCUGCCGCCAAGUUUCUGAGGAGUUUACUGACCAGGACCACAAGCCAUGCCCAACCUCCUUCCACAAAGCCAUGCCCACACCUCACACCCAUGCACACAGACCAAAGAGUUCACGGCAAAAAAAUCAAUAUGGUCUCUGUCUUUUCUUUCAAGAUCUCAAAUGCUUCCUACUUCAAAGCAUAUCAUCUGUUUAGUUACUGCCUUUCACAAAGACACAAAGUGAGACUUUAAUUUGUGCAGCAUGAACUGAAUUUCCAAAAGGUAUACAUGGGGAGUGUACAUGAGAAGAAUCUGUGGAUGCAAUGCAGCAAAGCACACUGCCCUGCCUUGGUGAUGGGAGUAACUGUGCUCAGCGCAUGUGGGUAGAUUCCACUAUUUCAUCACACUCACGUCGACAGCACAAAUGCCAUGCCAGAUGAAUCAUUAAGGAGCAUCAUAUUUUCUUUGUACCUACAGCCUCUUCUAACCAUAAUGAAGUGGUUAAAACAAGCAACUGAUAAAAACCGUGGGCCAGUCUAUUAUUUUUACCCAAAUAUACCAUAGCAACCACAGGGAUGAAACAGACAAGACAGAAAAAAAAAUCAACCUUUAGAGCAUAAAUUUAGGUAAUUCAAAAUGAAAUCACCAUUCAAGGAACCCAGUUCAUCUCACCUUAUCACUGCAAGAGGGCAGCCAACUCAGGGCAAGAAAAAGAUAUUAAUUCCUCAGUUCCUACUCACUUUACCGUCGCCUCUCCGCCCCUGGUAUGACUUCAGGUUCCCCAUCAGGUUCUACCCCAAGCAGAGCUCAUGAGAAAGCUUAUAGUAACACCUUUUAUCUCCCUCUUCAUGGCCCUUCAUUGCAACCAUUUCUACCUUUCUGUCCUCAAGACACUCAGAACAAUGCUGGGUAAAUCCAUGGGACUCCUUUGAUUACAAGUGACAGAAACUAAACUUAAAUUCAUUAAGCUACACGGGAGUGUUUGGCUCUAGUAAUGGGGAAGUCCAGGGUUA